UUUGUGUGCAUCAGCUUGCAGCAAGCAGAUCCCAGACGUUGACUGGCGGUAGGGGAUGUCUGGUAUCUACUUGCUGCGAUCUGUUUCAGACGGG
rnacentral:misc_RNA from 1 species